UUAGCUCAGCUGGUUCAGAGCAUCUGCCUUACAAGCAGAGGGUCGGCGGUUCGAAUCCGUCAACGCCCA
rnacentral:tRNA from 3 species